CUUCCUCUUUUAUCUUGACUCUCUGGUUCUCCUUCUAUUUCCUUCCCAUGUCCUGUCUCGCUCACUCUUGCUCUCUCUCUUUCACACCGACUCGCUCCCCUAUCAGUGGACUGAGUGGCAUGCUGAGCCGGAGCUCUUUCUGGGACAGGUGCCAACUGCAAAUAAAAGACAUUCAAAGGCAAUAAGAGGAAAUGUAGUUUUUUGUGAAAUGUUAAAUUGUUGAGGGGAAAUGUCAGAAGUAGUCCUGCAUGUUGUUUUGCUAAAUGGCCAUUUUGUGCUGUUAUUUCAUGUAUGUAUGAAGUAUUAAAACUGAAUGUAGGACUAAGGCUGUUGUUCAAGCAGAGGUUUGAAUACUUUGCCACAAUUAUUCUAGUGAAGGCAUUUCAUUCAGGAAGAGAGAGGGAGUAACAAGGGAGACCAGCAUAUAGACUGCUGAAUUAUUCAUGUGCCCAGCCAGGGCUGUGACUGGACUGAUUGAGAGCUAUUUGCAUGCAUCAGCCAUGCUGUUUGUCUGUUUGCUAACAUCCCUCAUUCAAAGACUUGUUAACUAGCAGACAGGCUUAGCUGAAGCCUUGCAGACAGUCUUAUGGCCUCCUUUUGUUUCAGGCCUCACCAGGCCUCUACCUAGCCAGUGGCGGGCGAGACGUGCAGCCCUGAACCCACUCUCACACUGUGACUGGAAGAAGGAGUGAGCCUGGAGCUGAGAUUGCGGCUGGAGCUCAGGCUGGAGCUGGGGAUGAGGCAUGACUGUGAAGCGGACAAUACGAGGGAUAUCCCUGGGUCUUGCAAGAACAACCGAAGAGGAGCUUAUCACUUUCUCCUCUUCUUGACAGAGAUGUGAAUCAAAGCGAGAAGAACUGCCGAUGUUUACACCCCGACUGGACAUUUACCAUUUUUGCUCUGAAAUACUGGCAGUAAGAUGGGUUUUACCUUCAGCCAGAGGCGCGACCAGUUCGGCCAAAAAGUGAAAUCGUGGACAGACAGAAUGGCGAUCGCAGUAGCUGACUGCAUUCAGACAAGCAGCAUCCCCCUCUGGACCCUUCCAAGCUCCUCUUCUCAAAGUGCUGACCCUGGGUGGAUGCCAUAAAUGGUGCUUUUCCACUGGGGCAAAUGUGCUGGCAGGGCCCACAGCUAUAUGACCCCCUCUCACCCUCCACCCUCUAUCAGUCCUCCCUCUCUCCUUCACAGGCUUCAGAGUCCCCAGUAGCCUGGCCCCCAUUGAAACACAACCUGUCUGUUUAAAGUACUCUAGAGCUAGAGUUUGCAUGGAAACAGUUUUAACUUCUGCAUAUGUACCUGUCUCCACCCUAACCAAAGCAGACUGUUGACUGUAGCUUCAAAUCCUUCUGUGCUUGUAUCAUAUGCACUCGAUAACCCCAGGCCACACCCUACAGCCUCCAGCAGCACUAGCUAGCUGCCCACGAUUCUGGAUUUCUGUAUGCGCCAGGCAUUUGAUUACAUGUGCAGAUGUUAAUAAAAUCCUCCUCUCAUCUGACCCGAAGUCCAUGGACAUUAUAUUAAGCUUUCAGUAGGUGUUCACUGCUGCUUCUCUCUUGAUCCACCAAUUGCUAAAUUUAC